rnacentral:lncRNA from 1 species
CAUGCAGAAAGGUGCUUCCUCUCUUGGUUCUGCGACAACACACUGUCUCCUAACAAAAACUACCAGGUCACCUGGUACACAUCUUGGAGCCCUUGCCCAGAGUGUGCAGGGGAGGUGGCAAGUUCCUGGCCAGGCACAGCAACGUGAAGCUCACCAUCUUUGCCGCCCGCCUCUACUACUUCCAGUGUCCAUAUUACCAGCAGGGGCUCCACAGGCUGAGUCAGGAAGGGGCCUCCAUGGAGUUCGUGGGCUACAAAG